GACAGAGGCCCCGAGCGUUAAUCGGAAUUACUGGGCUUAAAGGGCGCGUAGGCGGCCUGUUAAGUCGGACGUGAAAUCCCUCGGCUCAACCGGGGAACUGCGUCCGAUACUGGCGGGCUUGAAUUCGGGAGAGGGAUGUGGAAUUCCAGGUGUAGCGGUGAAAUGCGUAGAUACCUGGAGGAACACCGGUGGCGAAGGCAGCUCGCUGGGACGUUACUGACGCUGAGACGCGAAAGCGUGGGGAGCAAACAGG
rnacentral:rRNA from 1 species